GUGGGGAAUCUUGCACAAUGGGCGAAAGCCUGAUGCAGCCAUGCCGCGUGAGUGAAGAAGGCCCUAGGGUUGUAAAGCUCUUUCAGCAGGGAAGAUAAUGACUGUACCUGCAGAAGAAGCCCCGGCUAACUCCGUGCCAGCAGCCGCGGUAAUACGGAGGGGGCUAGCGUUGUUCGGAAUUACUGGGCGUAAAGCGCGCGUAGGCGGAUUAGUCAGUUGGGGGUGAAAGCCCGGAGCUCAACUCCGGAAUUGCCUUCAAUACUGCUAGUCUUGAGUCCGAGAGAGGGUGGUGGAAUUCCCAGUGUAGAGGUGAAAUUCGUAGAUAUUGGGAAGAACACCAGUGGCGAAGGCGGCCACCUGGCUCGGUACUGACGCUGAGGUGCGAAAGCGUGGGGAGCAAACAGG
rnacentral:rRNA from 1 species